AUGCUUUGGCAGCACAUUGACUAAAAUUGGAACGAUACACAGAAAGUUAGCAUGGACAUGUGCAAGAAUGAUGUGCAAAUUUGUGAAGCAAAACUCCCCCAAAUUCU